rnacentral:rRNA from 1 species
GUGGGGAAUCUUCCGCAAUGGACGAAAGUCUGACGGAGCGACGCCGCGUGAGUGAAGAAGGCCUUCGGGUCGUAAAGCUCUGUCAUCAGGGACGAACGGCCGGUGGAGUGGAAAGCCACCGGAUUGACGGUACCUGAGAAGGAAGCCACGGCUAACUACGUGCCAGCAGCCGCGGUAAUACGUAGGUGGCAAGCGUUGUCCGGAAUUAUUGGGCGUAAAGCGCGCGCAGGUGGGAUCUUAAGUCCAUUUUGAAAGUUCGGAGCUCAACUCCGUGAUGGGAUGGAAACUGGGAUUCUUGAGUACCGGAGAGGAAAGCGGAAUUCCCCGUGUAGCGGUGAAAUGCGUAGAUAUGGGGAGGAACACCAGUGGCGAAGGCGGGUUCCUGGCCCAUGACUGACGCUGAGGUGCGAAAGCCGGGGGAGCGAACGGGAUUAGAAACCCCUGUAGUCC